rnacentral:rRNA from 1 species
GACGGAGGGUGCAAGCGUUGUUCGGAAUUACUGGGCGUAAAGCGCGGGCAGGUGGCCUUUUAAGUCCUUUGUGAAAUUCCGGAGCUCAACUCCGGAUGUGCAUAGGAUACUGGAAGGCUAGAGACUGGUAGAGGCGAGCGGAAUUCCUGGUGUAGUGGUGAAAUGCGUAGAUAUCGGGAGGAACACCAGUGGCGAAGGCGGCUUUCUGGUCUGCUCUUGACGCUGAGGCGCGAAAGCUAGGGUAGCAAACGGG